UGGUUCUGGCAUCGAUGAAGAACGCAGCGAAAUGCGAUAAGUAAUGUGAAUUGCAGAAUUCAGUGAAUCAUCGAAUCUUUGAACGCACAUUGCGCCCGCCGGCAUUCCGGCGGGCAUGCCUGUCCGAGCGUCAUUUCAACCCCUCGAGAGGCCUGGCCACUCGGUGUUGGGGCGCCCGGGUGUAAAAACCCGGGGCCCCCAAGUACAUCGGCGGGAUCGUCGGAGCCCAAGCGCAGUAACACGCGGUAAAACGCGCCCUCGCUAGGCAGCUCCCGGCGUCCCCCAGCCGCUAAACCCCCCAAUUUUUAAAGGUUGACCUCGGAUCAGGUAGGAAUACCCGCUGA
rnacentral:misc_RNA from 1 species